CGGGGUGUAGCGCAGUUCGGUAGCGCACCGCGUUUGGGACGCGGGGGUCGGCGGUUCGAGUCCGCCCGCCCCGA
rnacentral:tRNA from 2 species